rnacentral:rRNA from 1 species
ACUCCUACGGGAGGCAGCAGUGGGGAAUAUUGCACAAUGGGCGGAAGCCUGAUGCAGCAACGCCGCGUGAGGGAUGACGGCCUUCGGGUUGUAAACCUCUUUUAGCAAGGAAGAAGCGAAAGUGACGGUACUUGCAGAAAAGCGCCGGCUAACUACGUGCCAGCAGCCGCGGUAAUACGUAGGGCGCAAGCGUUAUCCGGAAUUAUUGGGCGUAAAGAGCUCGUAGGCGGUUUGUCGCGUCUGCUGUGAAAACCGGAGGCUCAACCUCCGGCCUGCAGUGGGUACGGGCAGACUAGAGUGCGGUAGGGGAGAUUGGAAUUCCUGGUGUAGCGGUGGAAUGCGCAGAUAUCAGGAGGAACACCGAUGGCGAAGGCAGAUCUCUGGGCCGUAACUGACGCUGAGGAGCGAAAGGGUGGGGAGCAAACAGGCUUAGAUACCCUGGUAGCGUCG